rnacentral:rRNA from 1 species
CAGAGGGGGCAAGCGUUAUUCGGAAUUAUUGGGCGUAAAGGGCGCGUAGGCGGCUGUGCAAGUGGCGGGUGAAAUCCCUCGGCUUAACCGAGGAACUGCCUGCCAGACUGCACGGCUCGAGACCGGGAGAGGUGAGUGGAAUUCCCAGUGUAGCGGUGAAAUGCGUAGAUAUUGGGAGGAACACCAGUGGCGAAGGCGGCUCACUGGACCGGAACUGACGCUGAGGCGCGAAAGCGUGGGGAGCAAACAGGAUUAGAUACCCUGGUAGUCCACGCCGUAAACGAUGAGUGCUUGGUGUAGCGGGUAUCGACCCCUGCUGUGCCGACGUCAACACAUUAAGCACUCCGCCUGGGGAGUACGGUCGCAAGACUG